UCCGUAGGUGAACCUGCGGAGGGAUCAUUGCUGGAACGCGCUUCGGCGCACCCAGAAACCCUUUGUGAACUUAUACCUUACUGUUGCCUCGGCGCAGGCCGGCCCCUCCACCGGGGCCCCUCGGAGACGAGGAGCAGCCCGCCGGCGGCCAACCAAACUCUUGUUUCUUAGUGAAUCUCUGAGUAAAAAACAUAAAUGAAUCAAAACUUUCAACAACGGAUCUCUUGGUUCUGGCAUCGAUGAAGAACGCAGCGAAAUGCGAUAAGUAAUGUGAAUUGCAGAAUUCAGUGAAUCAUCGAAUCUUUGAACGCACAUUGCGCCCUCUGGUAUUCCGGAGGGCAUGCCUGUUCGAGCGUCAUUUCAACCCUCAAGCCUGGCUUGGUGUUGGGGCACUGCUUCGAGAGAAGCAGGCCCUGAAAUCUAGUGGCGAGCUCGCCAGGACCCCGAGCGUAGUAGUUAUAUCUCGUUCUGGAAGGCCCUGGCGGUGCCCUGCCGUUAAACCCCCAACUUCUGAAAUUUUGACCUCGGAUCAGGUAGGAAUACCCGCUGAACUUAAGCAUAUCAAUA
rnacentral:rRNA from 1 species